CGCUUCAGGCCAAAGCACUGCAGACGCCAUUAUCCUCUGUUUCUCUGCUGCACCAACUUCGACGUCUUGCCUACUUCCCGCUUAUUUGUGGCCUAUAGAUUGGUGUGUCCCUUGAAUACAAGAAAAUGGAAACUGAACAGCCAGAGGAAACCUUUCCCAACACCGAAACCAAUGGCGAAUUUGGUAAACGCCCUGCUGAAGAUAUGGAAGAGGAACAAGCUUUUAAAAGAUCUAGAAACACUGAUGAGAUGGUUGAAUUACGCAUUCUGCUUCAGAGCAAGAAUGCUAGAGCAGUGAUUGGAAAAAGAGGCAAGAAUAUUAAGGCUCUCCAUACAGACUACAAUGCCAGUGUUUCAGUCCCAGACAGCAGUGGCCCCGAGCGCAUAUUGAGUAUCAGUGCUGAUAUUGAAACGAUUGGAAAAAUUCUGAAGAAAAUCAUCCCUACCUUGGAAGAGGGCUUGCAGUUGCCAUCACCCACUACAACCAGCCAGCUCCCGCUCGAAUCUGAUGCUGUGGAAUGCUUAAAUUACCAACACUAUAAAGGAAGUGACUUUGACUGUGAGUUGAGACUGUUGAUUCAUCAGAGUCUGGCAGGAGGAAUUAUUGGAGUCAAAGGUGCUAAAAUCAAAGAACUUCGAGAGAACACUCAGACAACAAUCAAGCUUUUCCAGGAAUGUUGUCCUCAAUCUACUGACAGAGUCGUUCUUAUCGGAGGAAAACCUGAUAGGGUUGUAGAGUGCAUAAAGAUCAUCCUUGAUCUUAUAUCAGAGUCUCCCAUCAAAGGACGCGCUCAGCCUUACGAUCCCAAUUUUUAUGAUGAGACCUAUGACUAUGGUGGUUUUACAAUGAUGUUUGAUGACCGCCGUGGACGUCCUGUGGGAUUUCCAAUGAGGGGAAGAGGUGGUUUUGACAGAAUGCCACCUGGUCAGGGUGGGCGUCCCAUGCCUCCCUCCAGAAGAGAUUAUGAUGACAUGAGCCCUCGUUGAGGACCUCCUCCACCCCCUCCCGGGCGAGGUGGCCGGGGUGGUAGUAGAGCUCGGAAUCUUCCUCUUCCACCACCACCACCACCUAGAGGAGGAUAUCUAAUGGCCUAUGACAGAAGAGGAAGACCUGGAGACCGUUAUGAUGGCAUGGUUGGUUUCAGGGCUGAUGAAACCUGGGACUCUGCCCAUCAGAGUGGCAGAUGGCUUAUGAACCACAGGGUGGCUCUGGAUAUGAUUAUUCCUAUGCAGGGGGUUGUGGCUCAUAUGGUGAUCUUGGUGGACCUAUUACUAGUACACAAGUAACUAUUCCCAAAGAUUUGGCUGGAUCUAUUAUUGGCAAAG